rnacentral:rRNA from 1 species
GACGAACGCUGGCGGCGUGCUUAACACAUGCAAGUCGAACGAAGUGGCGAACGGGUGAGUAACACGUGAGUAACUGCCCUUGACUCUGGGAUAACCUCCGGAAACGGAAGCUAAUACCGGAUAAGGAUGGACUCGCGGCCUAUCAGGUAGUUGGUGAGGUAACGGCUCACCAAGCCUACGACGGGUAGCCGGCCUGAGAGGGGACCGGCCACACUGGGCUGAGACACGGCCCAGACUCCUACGGGAGGCAGCAGUGGGGAAUAUUGCACAAUGGGCGCAAGCCUGAUGCAGCAACGCCGCGUGAGGGAUGACGGCCUUCGGGUUGUAAACCUCUUUUAGUAGGGAAGCGGUACCUGCAGAAAAAGCACCGGCUAACUACGUGCCAGCAGCCGCGGUAAUACGUAGGGUGCGAGCGUUGUCCGGAAUUAUUGGGCGUAAAGAGCUCGUAGGCGGUCUGUCGCGUCUGCUGUGAAAACCCGAGGCUCAACCUCGGGCCUGCAGUGGGUACGGGCAGACUAGAGUGCGGUAGGGGAGAAUGGAAUUCCUGGUGUAGCGGUGGAAUGCGCAGAUAUC